AGGGGAGCGCUUUUGCAAAAAUGGCGCCUGGCUUUUAAACGAAGCCACCGCCAAUCGGCCACUCAAACAAACACUACACUCACAGCUUGAGAGAGAGAGAGAGGGAGAGAGUUGCUCUGAGUUGUUUGGAUAGGAAGGAGAAGAACCGAGAACGAUGAUAGUGAGGACUCCACCGCCGAAAAGGCAGCGAGCUGCGGCGGCAUCGGAGAUCAUUGCCGUCGAGAGCCCACCGCCGGCUACCGGGUCGGACCUGCCUCUCGUCAUAUACGAGGAUCCUCCUUCGGGUGCUGCUCAGCCACUCGAAUCCUCAUCCCACCAAAUGCUUUGCACCUACCAGUGUCGGCAAUUGGUUAAAUCGGAUUUUCUGGAUGCUUUAAGCAGUGCAGAGAAGCAAGCUCGUGAUUAUCAAUCUAAAUGGGAAGCACUCAAUGAGAAUUUGUCCAAAGUUGAAGCUGAGAAGAAGAAAUUAUUGGAUCAAUUCUUAUAUGCAGAGCAAGAACUCGCUGCAGCAAAAGCACGCGAACAGUUGCUUCAAGAACGGCUUUUGAAGGAGACAAAAGAUUCUCAGGAACGAUACCGAAACCAAAUACAGUCAAAAAGUGAUCUUGAGGUAAAGCUCCAAAGUGAAAUAAACCUUCGCAUGAAAGCCGAGUCUUCAGCAGCUUCAGCAGAGGAAAAAGCAAGUACUUUAGAGAGAAAACUAAGUCACCUUUCUGAAGGCAUGGAAAGGGAGAAGAAACGUCUAAAUGAUGAACUUGCACAUUUGAAAAGAGAAUCGAAACUUUCAAUUUCUAGAAUAAGUGCCGAUCUUGAACGAAUGGAGUGUAGAGCUAAUAGUGUAGAGAAAGAAUCAGAACUAUUAAAUGAGCAGCUUGAAGAGGCUAAGAAGCAACUUAUGGAGUGUUUGCAAGAGAAGAGUGAAGUAGAGAAGAAACUAUCAAGUUUCACGUUUAAAGAAGUUACUUCUGCAGAGAGUAAUAUCUUGGUUAAACAUCUGCAAGAAGAGCUUAGGAACUAUGAGGCUGAAGUGAGAGAAGCAAGGAAGUUGAAAUCAUCUCAUGAACACAUUGAGUUGUUAAAGGAAAAAUUAUUGGAAGAAAAAGGUCGUCGAGAGAGGGCAGAGUCGGAGUUAUCUAAAUUACAAGAGAUUCAGCUGAGUAUGAAGAAUUUGGAGGAUGAAUUGUCAUCUUGGAAGUUAUUGCUUAAUGAUAUUCCUGAUGUGUCAAGUUCCGAGGAUAUACCUGUCAAGUUUGCAGCAUUACAAAGAGAGGUUAUUGAUAGCACAAUGAAAGUGGGUGAAGCAAAUGCCCGCUUGAAACAACUGGAGGUGGUGCUUGAUGCUGCACAAAUUGAUAAACAAAAAGCUGAAACUGAAGCUGUAUUGGCUAAAGAGAAAGCAGAAAUAUCAAAAUCAGAGGUUAAGCAGAUUGAGUUGAUGCUUUCUACUGUUACUGGUGAAAGAGAUCAUUUGAGAAAUGUUGUGAAUGAGUUAAAGAGAUCAAAGAUUGAGACAGGGGAUUUUGCAGCUAGUGGAACAAUUGUCCAGGAGCUUGAGUCAUCUCUUGCAAAAAAAGAAUGCUAUAUUAAAGAAUUGGAGACUAGGUUAGAAGAGCAAAAAGAAGCCAGAAGCCGUCUGCAUGAGGAAAUAAAGUUGCUCAAUGAAAAAUUAAAUAAUGAAGAAAGAAGAAUAAAAUCACUGGAGAGGGAGAGUGAUCGGUUACGUGCGGAGAUUUCUCUAUUGGAGUCUAAGCUGGGUCAUGGUGAUUUUUCUGCUGCAAAUACAAAAGUUCUGCGAAUGGUGAAUACUCUAACAGUUGAUAAUGAGGCAAAACAAACAAUAGAGGCAUUACAAACUGAGUUACAGAAGACAAAGGAGAAGUUACAAGCUGUUGAAGAAUUGAAAAGUCAGUCAGGUGAUUCUGGGAAACUGGUGGAUUCGUAUAUAUCUGGGAAGAUAACGCAGUUGAAAGAACAAAUUGCAACUUUGGAAAAGCGUGAAGAGAGAUACAAGACUGUUUUUGCGGAUAGAAUUUCUGUUUUCAGGAGGGCUUGUUGUGAGCUUUUUGGUUACAAGAUUAUAAUGGAUGAACACCAGCGUCCUAAUGGGAUCCCUGUGACACGGUUUACCCUCCAAUCCAUUUAUGCUCAAAGUGAUGACGAGAAACUUGAAUUUGAAUAUGAAUCUGGGCAUACAAAUAUUUUGGCAAAUGAUUAUGGUUCUCAGCCAGAGAUAUCCCGUCAGAGGAAAAUUCACAUCUUGGAAAAUUGUUUCAACUUUUCUUUCCAAAACAAAAAAAUAUUGUGGAUGGCUCUUUUAUCUAGCGUUACCAGCAAUAAUCAGUAAACAUAUUGUGGAAGGUUUUCAAAGGCUUUAGUUUGAAUUUUCCAUUACAAUUGAUUGAGAUAUUUAUUCGGAAGUUGAAUUCUAUUCCAGCUUUCACUGCCAACUUGACAGUGGAGUCUUUCAACAAACGAACCCUGUCUUAAAACGACCAGAACUUAUUUUGAAUGGCCAUUAAUAUAUCGUUUCCUUUUCUUACAGAUGAUUCACCAGAACUGUAUUUCUAUCUUCUUCCUCUUAAACAGGUGAUCUUCUGUACACUUGUGGAUAAAUGCUUGAAUUUGGGAUUAGGUAUAUCCUCGAAAAAAAAGGUGCUUAAUCUGCCCAUGUGGUUGCAAAUAUAGGUUGAAUGGCUAAAAUUCCUUUGUUUUUGGCUUGCUGUA